rnacentral:rRNA from 1 species
UAUUGCACAAUGGGGGAAACCCUGAUGCAGCGACGCCGCGUGAGUGAAGAAGAAUUUCGGUAUGUAAAGCUCUCUCAGCAGGGAAGAUAAUGACGAUACCUGACUAAGAAGUCCCGGCUAACUACGCUCCAGCAGCCGCGGUAAUACGUAAGGGGCAAGCGUUAUCCGGAUUUACUGGGUGUAAAGGGAGCGUAGGUGGCAGGGCAAGUCAGAUGUGAAAACCCGGGGCUCAACCCCGGGAGUGCAUUUGAAACUGUCCAGCUGGAGUGCAGGAGAGGUAAGCGGAAUUCCUAGUGUAGCGGUGAAAUGCAUAGAUAUUAGGAGGAACACCAGUGGCGAAGGCGGCUUACUGGACUGUAACUGACACUGAGGCUCGAAAGCGUGGGGAGCAAACAAG